AAUGAACGCUGGCGGCGUGCUUAACACAUGCAAGUCGUACGAGAAACCCGGGCUUGCCGGGGGAGUAAAGUGGCGCACGGGUGAGUAACGCGUGGGUAAUCUACCCUCGAAUUGGGGAUAACACACCGAAAGGUGUGCUAAUACCGAAUAAGACCACGACCUCCACGGGGGUUGCGGUCAAAGAUGGCCUCUGCUUGCAAGCUGUCGUUUGAGGAUGAGCCCGCGUACCAUUAGCUUGUUGGUGGGGUAAUGGCCUACCAAGGGAAAGAUGGUUAGCUGGUCUGAGAGGAUGGCCGGCCACACUGGAACUGGAACACGGUCCAGACUCCUACGGGAGGCAGCGGUGAGGAAUUUUGCGCAAUGGGGGAAACCCUGACGCAGCAACGCCGCGUGAGUGAAGAAGGCCUUCGGGUUGUAAAGCUCUGUCAAGUGGGAAGAACCUUUUUCGGCCGAAUACGCCGAGAAACUGACGGUACUGCUGAAGGAAGCACCGGCUAACUCCGUGCCAGCCGCCGCCGUAA
rnacentral:rRNA from 1 species